rnacentral:rRNA from 1 species
UAGGGAAUCUUCCGCAAUGGGCGAAAGCCUGACGGAGCAACGCCGCGUGAGUGAUGAAGGUCUUCGGAUCGUAAAACUCUGUUAUCAGGGAAGAACAAAUGUGUAAGUAACUAUGCACGUCUUGACGGUACCUAAUCAGAAAGCCACGGCUAACUACGUGCCAGCAGCCGCGGUAAUACGUAGGUGGCAAGCGUUAUCCGGAAUUAUUGGGCGUAAAGCGCGCGUAGGCGGUUUUUUAAGUCUGAUGUGAAAGCCCACGGCUCAACCGUGGAGGGUCAUUGGAAACUGGAAGACUUGAGUGCGGAAGAGGAAAGUGGAAUUCCAUGUGUAGCGGUGAAAUGCGCAGAGAUAUGGAAGAACACCAGUGGCGAAGGCGACUUUCUGGUCUGUAACUGACGCUGAUGUGCGAAAGCGUGGGGAUCAAACAGG